GAGCUCCUCAGGCUUAGGGACAGCUGACAACCCGGACUCUUCCCAGGGGUGGCACCUGGGGAAGGGGCGGAUGGGCACUGACCUACUGGUUUGUUCUGGGGCGUCCUGUCCCCAGCCACCAUGAGUCAUUUGCAAGGUGAAUACGAAUUGCAAGAGAUCCAGAUUUGUACCCGAGCUACACAGAGAAACCAUUUCUCAGAAGAAAAGCAUUUUUCAGAGCAGCCAGGAGAGGAGUGUGACGUGCUCAGACAACAGCCCUCACAGGUGUGGGCCCAGUCCUCGCCCCCGUGGAUCCAACCAGCGGCAGGUAUUUAUUACAGCAAUGGAAAACUGACUUCCAUACUACCUUCAUGCCCCUUGGGUGGCCCUGCUGUCCCCUCCCAGCUGCCAGGACCAAAUGCCAUCUGGGAGUGGACACCUUCGCCACCGGCAUCAUCCCCCUUGCCCACCCCGACCCCCCGCCUGUAGCGACUGUAGCUGCCUCAGGUCCUCGCUGCUGAAGACUUGGAGAGACGCACACAUGACCAUCUUUGGCACCUGUGGUAUUUUCAGGAAUUAAAAGUUGAUGGAAAGGAACUUAUUGUCCUAAAUCCCCAGCAGAGCAUGAGGUUUACCGAAGUCCCUUCCUGAGACUGAUUAGCUCAGUGGUCUGGUGAGGUGAGGUCUCCAGCGACACGAUCGGCCUAAAACCCGGGAGCUCUGACCACAGGCUGACAUUGAGGGGCUUUGAACCAAGGAAUGGGCGAUUCAGGGAUCAGUGAGCUGUCAUGUCUACAGAUCCUGGAAACACUCGUGAACCUAAUGGGUCUGGUGAGUCAGGUGCAGUAAAGGGACAAGUUAAAUAUUGCUUUAGAGCCGUGUGUCACUGAUGCUUUGCUUAAACAGCACUGAAUACAGCUACCAUACAGGCC